ACAUAAAAACCUUCGUAAAGUAGUUCAAAUCAAAAUAAAAGUACGGAAGAAAAAGCCCGACAUCGGGGUGACACUAGUCAUGAUCAUCUACUACAAUCUGUCUAACAAUAUCAAGGCUAACUCAGCCUGAAAAAUAGCUAAUACAACUAGAGGAAGAUAAGAGGGAGAAGAGCAGGGCUGCAAUCACCACACAGCUACCUUGCUAUCCCCGGGAAAAUCUGCAAUCAGAACAAUCAACAGUCGCUACCGUGUCCAUCUACACCUGGAUCUUCACACAAGGUGCAGGGAGUAAUGUGAGUACUCCAACUCAGUAAGUAACAAUAAUAAAUAAAGACUGAGCAGUAGUGACGAGCAAUAAAUCAUAUAACAUCCAUAUCAGGAAAUCUCAGAAAAAUACCACAUGCUUUUAAAAUCAGGAUUUGAAUUAAAACAUCUCGUUUAAACCAGUUCCAGUAAAAAAUCAUUUAAAGAUAUUUUUUAACAGUUUUCAAACAGAGAAAAAAUGCAAAGGUGAGCAAAAAUGAUGAAAUCAUAAAUAUCCCAGCGGGCAAAACAUCACUCAUAUACAGCCCCUCGGGCAAACCUCACAGUCACUCGUGCCACUCGGGUAUACCUCACAAUCACUCUUGCCACUCGGGCAUACCUCACAAUCACUCAUGCCUCCCAGUCACUCAGCACUCGACACUCGCACUCAGUAGGUACCUGCGCUCACUGGGGGUAUGUACAGACUCCGGAGGGGCUCCUUCAGCCCAAGCGCUAUAAUCUGCACGGACAACUCACGUGCUAUAGUAAUAAAGUAUACCGAUCCACACUCAUCCUCACAAAUCAGGCCAUCAGCCUCACUCAGUCAUAAACCUCUCAAGCCACUCGGGCAUUUCAGUAAAACAAGGCAUUCGGCCCAAAACAUUUAUAUGCAUCAAAAUAGAGUCAUAAAACUGAGUUAUGCAGUAAAUAGGUAUAACCAUGACUGAGUAUAUAUUUUCAAUCGAAAACAAUGAGAGGAUAGUAAGAAAAGUCCCCUAAGGGUCCAAACAGUACUGGCACAAGGCCCAAACAUGGCAUUCAGUCUAAUUUACAGAAACUCUUUGUAAAACAUAUAAGUAUCAUAUAGUUUCAUCAAAGUAUGCAACUUUACAGUUGCUAUGGGAUGGACCAAGUCACAAUCCCCAAUAAUGCACACCCACAUGCCUGUCACCUAGCAUGUGCGUCACUAAAAAUAGUAGAAUGAUACGAAAUCCGGGGUUUCAUACCCUCAGGACUAGAUUUAUAAUUGUUACUUACCUCAAACCGGUCAAAUCUCUACCCCGCAAUGCUCUUGCCUCUGGACUCAACCUCCAAAUGCUCCGAAUCUAUCACAAUCAGUACAAUACCAUCAAUAUGCUCUAAUGGAAUGAAUUCCACAAGAAAAACUACAAAAUUAGACCAAAAACCAUAAAUUGGCUCAAACCCGGCCCCCGGGCCCACGUCUCGAAAUUCGACAAAACUAGAAAGCUCAUUCACUCACGAAUCUAACCAUACCAAAUUUAUCAAAAUCCGACAUCGUUUAGUACUUCAAAUCCUUAAAUUACUCUCCAAAAAUUCCAAGUCCUAACCCCUCAUUUUCACUAAUUAUAUGAUUAAACAAUGGUAAAUCACCAUAUAUACGAGUAUUAGGGCUCAAGCAACUUAUCUCACUGAUAGCCCUUGAAUCACCCUUCAAACAUCACUCCAAAAGCUCCAAAAACUGACUUGAAAAUGGUGGAAAUGAACCAAAAUCGCGAAGGGUUCUAUUUAUGGUUUCUGCCUAGGUUUUUCGCACCUGAGGAAACUUGCACCCUUCUGCGCCACCGCACCUGCAGAAAUAUCCAUCGCAGGUGCAAAACUCACUUAGGAGCCCAGUUUCCGCAUCUGCGGCCCAAAACCCCGCUUCUGCGAAGGCGCACCUGCGCGUCUCCUCCGCUUCUGCGAAGCCUGCCCAGUAUUGCCCGCACCAGCGGCCUCGCACCUGUGACUCUUUCUUCCGCAGGUACGAAAAUAGCAGUAGCAACAACUUCAGCUGCAUUUUCCAACUUCGACAAAUCCGUUAACCACCCGGAAUCACCCAGAGGCCCUCGGGACCUCAACCAAAAAUACCAACAAGUCAUAUAUUAACAUACCAACUUAGUCGAACCUUCGAAUCACUCAAAACAAUAUCAAAUCAUCAAAUUUCCCUCGGAUUCAAGCCUAAGAACUUCUAAAUUUUCAAAUUCGGCAACCGAUGCCGAAACCAACCAAACCACGUCCGAAUGACCUCAAAUUUUGCACACACGUCACAAAUGACACUACGAACCUAUUCCAACUUCCGAAAUUCCUCUCUGACCCCGAUAUCAAAUUUUCUACUGCCGAUCGAAAUCGCCAAAUUUUUAAUUUCGCCAAUUCAAGCCUAAUUCUACCAUGGACCUCCAAAUUACAUUCCGGUCGCACUCCUAAGUCCAAAAUCACCUAAUGAAGCUAAUGAAACCAUCAGAAUUCCAAUACGAUAUCAAAUGCUAAAGAGUCAAAUUUUGGUCAACUCUCCCAAUUUAAAGCUCCAACAAUAAAAUUCUUUCUUCCAAUUCGAUUCCGAAAUACCUGCAACCCAAAAUCGAUGAUUCACACAAUUCAAAGUACAUCAUACGGAGCUACUCAUGCCCUCAAACAACUGAGCGAAGUGCAAAUAUUCAAAACGAUUGAUCGGGUUGUUACACUAUGUCUUUAGUCCUCAACCUACGGACUUGCCUAUCAAGAAUCUCAACCGGUUCUUCAUCAUAAGUUAAACCGUCAUUUAUUUCUACUACCUCCGGUGAGAUGAUGUGAGCAGGAUCGGGCACAUACCCUCGUAGCAUCGAUACAUGAAAAACAGGAUGAACUAAAGUCAUCGAUGCAAGUAACUCCAACUUGUAAGCUACUUCACUAAUCUUUUUCAAGACUCGAUACGGACCAAUGAAUCUAGGACUUAGCUUGACCUUCUUCCCAAAUCUCAUAACACCCUUCAUUGGCGAUACCUUCAAGAACACUUGAUCACCCUCUUUAAACUCCAACUUACGUCGAUGUACAUAUAUAUAGUUUUUUUGUUGACUCUGAGAGGUCUUAAGCCAUUGUUGAAUCAAAGCCACCUUAUCUAAGGCAUCAUGUACAAGAUAUAGACCAAGUAGUCCUACCUCAGUUGGCUCAAACCACCCAAUAUGUGAUCUACAACAUCGUCCAUACAAAGCCGCAUAGGGAGCCAUCUAGAUACUAGCUUGAUAGCUAUUAUUGUAGGAAAAUUCAAUCAGAGGUAAGUGUUCAUCCAAUUCCCACCACAAUCAAGUACACAAGCUCGCAACAUAUCCUCAACCGUCUGAAUAGUCCUCUCAGCCUGUCCGUCAGUCUAUGGAUGAAAAGCGGUACUCAAAUUGACACUUGUACCCAAUCUUUCUUGAAAGGACUGCCAAAAGUGAGCAGUAAACUGGGUCCCUCUAUCAGAUAUAAUGGAAACUGGAAUACCGUGAAGUCUGAAUUUCUUUCAAGUAUAACUUAGCAUACUGUGGUGCCGUGUUAGUCAUCUUUACCGGUAAGAAAUGUGCCGACUUUGUAAGUCAGUCUACAAUCACCCAAAUAGAGUCAUGGUUCAAGCAAGUGUGAGGCAAACCUACAACAAAGUCCAUAUUAAUCAUCUCUCACUUCCAAAGUGGAAUAUCGAUAUUCUGAGCCAACAUACCAGGUCUUUGAUCCUCAGCUUUUACUUGUUGGCAAUUUAAACAUCUAACCACGAAGUCCGAAACGUUUUCCUUCAUCUGAUUCCACCAAUAGAUCUCCCGUAAGUCCUUGUACAUUUUUGUGGACCCUGAAUAUAUAUAAUAUCUCGAACCAUGUGCCUCAAUCAUAAUUGUAUUACGAAAUCCAUCAACAUCUAGCAUGCACAAGCGACUGUUCAUCCUCAACACCCCAUCCUUGUCAAGAGAAAAAAUAAGGAUAUUUUUAGAUUGUACACCAUUUCGAAUAUUCAUCAAAUUUGGAUCUUCAAAUUGCUUAGCCUUGACAUGCUUAAUAAGUGAGGAACGUGCUAUGGCACAAGCAGCAAUAUAUUUAGCUAUCGGUAAAUAUGCCAAAGUACCUCCUGACUUUCGGCUUAGUGCAUCGGCUACCACAUUCGCCUUCCCCAGAUGGUAAUGAAUGCUUAAAUCAUAAUCCUUCAAUAGUUCUAACGAUCUCCUUUGCCUCAUGUUUAAUUCCCUCUGCUUGAAUAUAUAUUGCAAGCUUUUAUGGUCAGUAUAUAUUUCACGGUGCACACCGUACAAAUAAUGCCUCCAAAUUUUUAAAGUAAAUACCACCGCGGAAAGUUCCAAUUCAUGGGUUGGAUAGUUCUUCUCAUGGAUCUUCAAUUGUCUAGAAGCAUAAGCAAUAACCUUAUCUUUCUGCAUCAAGACACAACCCAACCCAACUCUAGAGGCGUCACAAUAUACCAUAAAGCCAUCUGAACCUGUUGGCAAGGUCAACACCGGCGUCGUAGUCAAUCUAGCUUUAAACUCUUGAAAACUUCUCUCACAAGCAUCCGACCACUGAAACUUCAUUGCAAGAGUAGAAAAUCCUUGGUUAGCGGAGAUGCAAGAGUAGAAAAUCCUUCAACAAACCGCUGAUAGUAGCCCGCUAAUCACAAGAAACUACGGAUCUCUGUCGGUGUAGUUGGUCUAGGCCAACUCUUAACUACUUCAAUCUUUUGAGGAUCAACCUUAAUACCUUCACGAGUUACCACAUGACCCAAGAAUACUAUGGAUUCAAGCCAAAAUUCACACUUAGAGAAUUUGGCAUACAACUGAUGCUCCAGAAGCGUCUGCAACACUGUCCUAAAAUGAUUGGCAUGUUUCUCUUGAUUUCUCGAAUAUACUAAUAUGUCAUCAAUGAAAACAAUCACGAACCUGUGAAGAAAUGAUUUGAAAACCCGAUUCAUUAGAUCCAUAAAGGUUGCGGGUGCAUUUUUUCCCCAAAUGACAUCACCAAAAAUUCAUAAUGCCCAUAGCGAGUCCGAAAAGUCAUUUUGGGAAUAUCCUUCUCUCGAAUUUUCAAUUGAUGAUACCCCGACCUUAAAUCAAUCUUCAAGAAGUACUUCGCCCCUUGCAACUGGUCAAACAAGUCAUCUAUUCGAGGUAAUGGAUACUUAUUCUUGACGGUCACCUUGUUAAGUUGCUUAUAGUCAAUACACAUCCUCAAAGAACCAUCUUUAUUUUGCACAAACAACACUGGUACACCCCAAGGAGAUACACUAAGUCUAAUAAACCCUUUAUCCAGUAAAUUUUUCAAUUGUUCCUUCAAUUCUGUUAACUCGGCUGGAGCCAUUCAGUACAGGGGAAUAGAUAUCGGCUGAGUAUCUGGCACUAAAUCUAUCCCAAAGUCAAUGACCCGAUCUGGUGGAAUACCCGGAAGCUCGUCAGGAAAAACAUCAAGAAACUCAUUAACAACUGGCACAUACUGAAUGCUUGUUACCUCUGCAGUUGUGUCAGUGACUCUGACUAAAUGAUAAAGAUAACCUUUUGUAAUCAUAUUCUUUGCCUUAAGGUAUGAAAUAAACUUACCUCGAGGCUCAGUAAUAUUGCCUUUCCACUCACGAACUGACUCAUUAGGAAACUCAAACUUGGCCACUUUAGCACGACAAUCAAGAAUGGCAUAACACUUGUAUAACCAAUCCAUCCCAUGAUCGCAUCAAAGUCAACCAUUUCUAACUCAAUGAGGUCUGCCGUAGUCUCUCGAUAUUGAAUUAUAAUCACACAACCCCUAUAGAUGUGGGAGGCAAUAACAAAAUCUCCCAUAGAAGUCGACAUAGAAAAUGGUUCAAGUAGUUGUUCUGGCACUAUCCCAAAAUCCAAAGCAAAGUACGGAGUAACAUAGGAAAAAAUAGAUUCGGGGUCCAUAAGAGCAUAAGCAUCUAGAGUACAAACAGUAAGUAUACAUGUGACGACAACAUCUGAAGCCUCCGCAAUAGGACGAGUAGGCAUGGUAUAGAAACGGGGAUGAGUCCCCUGGGAAGAAGUGGUUGUCUGCGGCACAUUUCCUGCAUUGCGCCCACUGUGUCCCCCAUUACCCCUAGGUGGGGGCGGUGCAACCGAAGUAGUAGCCAUAGAUGGUGACAGAUGAGCUAUCAAACCAUGUUGACCAUUAGGGCAAAACUUUCGGAUAUGACCCAUCAAUCCACAACCAUAGCACGGACUACGGGGUCCCCUGGUAGCACUAGACUGACAUUGACGAGAACCCACACUACUCAGAGCCUGCUGUGUAGUACGGUGGUCACUCUGAACGGGCCUAAACUGGCCUCCAUGUCCGGUAUUGUAUGCCAGUGGAGGGCUACUGGAAGCUGUCUGCAUCCUAGACUGCGGUGGGCCAGAUGACCAUCUGCUGCUCUGCCUCUUGCCCGAAUUAGGCACUGCACUGAAAGUGCCAAAAGUCCGGGCCUUUUUGUUCUGCUCCCUAUUGGCCCUCUCCUCCUGAUGAAUCCUCUCAAGAUCCAUUACUAAAUCCACAAAGUUAGUAAAUGUAGUGUUUCUUCUCCCACUACCUGUAUCUUUUCUGAUGCCCGAAAUCAAUUCAUGAGCAAAGCGAUCAAUCUUCUCAUCCUCAGUGGGGAUGAGGUGCGGAGCAUAACAGGAUAACUUCUCGAAUAUGAUGCUAUACUCUAGAACGAUCAUAGUAUCUUGCUUUAAGGUCUCAAACAAUAUUACAAGGGCAGCUCUUACCCCCGGUGGUAACGACUUCUUAAUGAAGAUAUUCUUAAACUCUGCCUAAAUCAUUACAGGUGCAUCCUCCUGUUGACACUUCUCUACCCCUUUGAACCAGAGGUCAGCAAUGUCUUUUAACUGGUAGGCUGCCAAUCGAACCACCCGGUAGUCUAAACUCCCAGCAAAGUAGUAGCUUUCUCAACUUUCUCCAAGAAGUCCUAGGGGUCUGCAGUAGGAUCUGUACCGGUGAAAACUGGUGGCUCAAGUCUCACAAAUUUCAUGGCUAACUGCGCCAUGUCCUCAACCACUGGUGCUCCCAUCCCUCCUUGUUGGAGUGCCUGAAUACCCACUUGAAGGUUCUGUUGGGUCUUCAUAGCUAUGAGGUCAGCAAAAUUAUCCAUAGCCUUCCUAAUAUCAGUGAGGGUCUUCUCCAAGUGAUUUGGUUUUGGAGGUGGAGCAGGCACCUCAUCAACUUCUUCCUCGAGCUCCUGGACCAUCCUUGGAGACAUUGGAACUGGCACAGUCUAUGCUCUUGCAGCCUUCGUUGGUCGGCCCUAGGUCUAGCGAGUACCUCCCGAAGCCGCAUCGGGUAUAGGAGAAGCUUCCCGAUUCAUAUUACUGUCACGCGUGUUCACCCUCUUCUGCCAAUAGAUAUAGCGUACGAGUUAGGAAAUAUUUCUUAGCUCUAUUGCACAAUUCUAGAAUAAGAAGAAAGAGUGAAGUAUUCUUAUAAUGUCCCUAUAGCCUUCUCGAUAUAAGUGCGGUGCACAACACACCAAUAAGGAGAACUCUACCAGACAUGAUUCCAUAGACUUCCUAGGACUCGAAUUAGAACUUAUGGCUCUGAUACCAAGUUUGUCACGCCCUAAAAUCACGUGACCUGCACUCGUUACUCUACCCGACCCGAGUGAACCAUCCCAUAUAUUAAUACUCACCUAUGUGCCUAACUGGAGGAUGUGAAAGCCUCUUCAAGUACAGUCAUUUUAAGAUAUAAAACAAGACAUGAAUAAUAUCUUUAAGUAAAUAUUUUUCUUUGAAAGAGAACUCCAUAAAGAUAAAAGAAAGUUUUAUUCAUGCAUGCCAUAUUAGUAACCAUAGGAUUACAACCCAAAAUGAAUACUACUAUUGUCUAUGGAAUCUCUAUAACACGGAAUGGAAUAUCCAACCAAGGCAUAACCCGGUUGCUCAAAAGGAUAAUAAUAUAAUAAAGUUCUCCACGGGUACGAGUGUGGAGUCUCACCAAAAGCGUGAACAGAAAAUGUAGAGCCGCCCUAACCGCGCGACUCAAGCUGCUCAGGUCCAGUCCCUGAAAACAUAAAUGGAAAUGUGGCCGAAAGGCCUGAGCUCCACAUGCCUAGUACGAAUUAUGAACCAUUCCUCAAAAGAAAAUAGGACAAGACUUAAGAAGAUAUAAGAUAUGCAAUAACAAUUGACAUAAGAAAAGAAGCCUUCAUAUCAAUUAACAAUUUAGAAAAUAAAAUAAAAUAAUAUGGUAAAACAUAUUUCAAAAUCUUCCUUUAGCAUUAAUCUUUGUAAAUCAUGUUACAAUUUUUAUUUACCGGGAGUAUUAUACCAUCACCGACACGAAAAAAGGUCAACCAGGUUAUGUACCUAGCGGCAAGUAUCAUAUACCCUACUUGCUCAGGUCGUCUCAUCGUUGUGCCGCACGAAUCGACUCAGCCGUGCUAAUAAAGUAGCACAAUAGUACCCCCUAAUGGGAAGUACUCUGUCGUAGUUCCCAACCGUAAGGUAAGUUCUACGCGUACACCGACACGUGUAGUUUCAUGACCUAAUGAGAAAAAAUAUCCAAGGUCAAUCUCGGUGAACUUAAGUAACUCCCAAAACCUUUACAUUAAUCAAUGACAAUGUUUAUAGCCAAAUAAACUAUUUGAAAAUAGUUAAAUCCAAGAUAUUUCACAACUCAUGUAUUUCUAUUUCAAAAAUACUACAAAUGCUAUUCUUUAUUUUAGUUUUUAAAAAAAAAAUUGAAUAACAUUUCAAGAAAAUAAUAUUCAUAGAACUUAAAUCUUUUAUGAUGCAAGAAAUGAUAUAAUCCCAACUCGCUCGUCCCCACAAGCUAGGACUCACAUUUAGAAACUCAAUUUAAUCGUGUUUCGAUAUGAGUUUGGAGAAAAGCUCCGAGGGUAAUAAGUUUCAACGUACCUCAAAUAGUUUUCAACCUUACCCCAAAUGAUCCAAUAAUGCCGACGAGUCACAAUCUACAUAUAUGAACUCACAUAAUUGAAUAGCGCGUCACAACAAUGCCAACUAAGCCAACUAAUUGUCUAACACUUAAGUCCAACUUAAUAAGUUUAUCAAAAAUCCACAUUUCAUCAUUUGAAGGUCAAUCCUUGAAUUAUAACUUCAACUCAUUCAUUAAACUUGUUAUUGGAUCUAGUCGUUCCACUAGAAACUUAAAAUAACAUCGUUCAAGCAAGACCCAACACUAUUCAUCAUCCAUACCAAUCAACUCUUCUAGGAUUUCAUGAAUAGAUAUUUAAAUAUAAAUUUAUCUUCAUAAAAAUACUCUACUACGUCCAUGGAGUAUAAUAUAUAAGUUUGGAGUGAAGAAAUUACUUCUUUGUCAAACCCUAAAAAUUUCAAGAUUUGUGUUCUUGAAGUGCUCUUGAGAUUUUCUUCAAAUAUCUAUAAUUUUUGUGUAAUUGAAGAGUUAAGAGAUGUAUUUAAUAGACCAAAUCUACCAAGAAAGACAUUAAAUUCUUACCUUGAAGAAGUAUUAAUGGUAGAGAGCUCCCUUCUCUCUUUAAGUCUUUAAGAACCAACUCCCAAAUAAUAGCACAACCCUUCCCGUAAUAGCCUUUAAAGACAUUCAGCAGACUGCAGCCAUAAAGGAUGCGUCCCCGUCUACAUCGCGCUCGUCCUUCUCAUUCAGCAAAUUUGGACGUGAGGUUUGACGCUUUCAAUGCAGUUCACUGCCACUGCGUGAUGAGCUUUGCCUCAUUUCAUUUAUUUAGCAAUUAUGUCCAUCUCAUGCUUUAGAAUUUUUUAAUCUUUUCACCAUCAUCUGCCACCACUACAACAUUUGUUCAUUUGUAUAUUAUUCAAUUUCAUGGCAUUUAAUAAUUAAUUCCUUGGGUCCCAUAAUGUGUAUCUAUCCCAGCCCCUCCAAAAUUCAAAAUAUUCGUCGAAACCUUCAUCUUUGUGACAUUAAUAAUUUCCUUUCAAGAGUUGUUAAUAAGCUUUUUAAUUACCAUUAAUCAAACACUCAUUCUUUGAUAAAAAUAAUUAUUUUUAAGUAUCUCAAUAGCUUUGUUCUACUCAAUUAAUUCAUGUAACUUGGGUUUGAUCAAAUUACAUCCUUAAGCUCAAAUUAAAUCCAAAUUAUUCAUAGAAGUUAUGGGGCUUUAUAAAGACUCUUUCGAGUUGUGUAUUACCUUUUUUAAGCCAUAACAAAAGGAAUUCCAAUGAUUGAUUGGCCAACCUUAGGUCCGGCCAAUUAUAAAAUUUUAUUAGCCAACAACUUCUAACGAGCUUAAAAUAAUCUCCGUCAUGAUGGCGAGAAUCACUUCAAAUAUGAUACUUUACUUCAUUGUCUUGGGCUGGGUGCGAGUUUGUCCCCUAAUAUUUUUGAAAGAGUAAAAGACACGAAGAUAAAUGAUCGAGAGGUCAGAGGAUUGCAGUUGAUAAGCUGGUCAAAUUGUGCAAAAGCUGGAUACGAUAGGAAACACACACUGAUCUUUGACCAUAAUUGAGUUAUAUUAUUACUAAAAAAAUUCUAGUGGGUCCUCAAGUUGGGUUUAACAACCGUAUAUCCUAAACUACGGUAACAUGCACUGCAAAAUUUCUAUUUCUGAUUAGAGAAACUAGAGAUGUUAAAAUUCGUGACGCUAAUCUUCAAUUUUUAAAUCUUGCUCGUUCUGGAUAAACUUAAGGCUCAUAGAAACGAACGAGAAAGAAAUAAAGCAAAUAUAUGACAGAAACUCCAAAGAUCUAAACAUGGGCUGUUGGAAUACCACGAAUUGAUAUGACCGUAUUCAAAAUUACUGCAUACAUUGGAAGAAAUGUUCUACUGAGAAAAAAAAAUAAUGUACGAUACAACAACAUACAAAUUAAAAAUAAAUUUCGUACAAAUUUUAUGUAAAUUUGAAUAUUUACAACUACAUACAUAGUAAAAACAAAUCUUAUACAACUAAUUAUAUAAUAUAUAAUUUAUUUUAAACUUAUCUACAACUUUCAUAUAUUAUUUCUACACAGUUAAGUACAACUACAACAUCAUACAACUUAAAUAUAAUUUUCAUAUAAAUUUUAUACAAUAUGUUUUCUGUAUAUAUUUUUUAUAUGAUUUGUAUAUAUUUUAUAAGUGGUGUGUUCUUCUUCCUCUCUGAAAUUUCAGUCAAAACUUUAUCUCUUAAAACAAAUUUGAUAUAUAUCAAUAACUAUAAAAAGAUAGUAUUUAUAAAUUAAAUACAAAUUUAAUACAACGAUUCAUACAUUAUACGACUAUUUUUCAAAACUUUCAUACAAUAUUCAAAUAAAAAUAUAUAUAAUUACAACAUAAUACAACUUAAAUACAAUUUACAUACAACUUUAAUAUAAUUUCGUAAAUAUAUUGUAUGUUGUGUUCUUUUUUUUCGAGUUUCAAUCUAAAAUUCAUCCAAAAUCAAAACUAAUAUUCACUAAACACCCUCAAAAUUGAGAUAUAAACUAAAAAAAAUAUUUUCAAUUAUUUACAACACCACCCAAUCCAAACAAACAAUAGUUUUUGAAAACCCAAAUUCGAAUUCAAAGCUUCAGAGCUUUUUAAUGGCUGUCAAUGGUGGAGAAUCAAAUACCUUCAAAAUUUAUUGAUUUACAAUUUCAAUUCGAACAUCAAUUGUGCAACAUGAAAGGAAAUUGCUAAGUUAAAACUCUAUAUUAUAACAAUUGAAAUUCAUUGAUGAAUUUUCUGAGGAAAAAAAAGGACGAAAGCAGAAAAAAAUGAAGGAAGAAAAUUGGAGAAACAAAGGAGAGAAAGAGAGCAUGGAUGAGGAUUCCCUAUUCAAUUCCUAAUAUAAAGAGAUAAUAAUUUAAAACUAAUUUGUAUAGAAUUGGUAAAUUGUAUAUGCAUGUGUACGGCCAAAACCGAUUUGAGUCAGUCGUACGGACUGGUCGAGAUGAUAAUGUUUCGAUCAAAAUAUAUCCGCAUGACAAGCUCGGUCAAGGUCCGAAGUAGGGGCGGCGAGCUUCGAGCUCUAAGACCGAUCAAUGACAAGCUCGAUAUUAUUAUCGAGCUCAUAUCCAAAUCGAACUACGAGGCAAAACGGAGAUUAUCGAAGAUGCAUGGACCAACCAACACUCACCCCCGAAUACCGAGAUCCCAAGUCAGAAUCGAGCUCGGACCAAGACCGAAGGCUCGAUCCAAUACCGAGCUCGAGCCAGUAUCGAGCUCGCAGACUAGGGCCGUUGCAACAGCACUAUGGGAGAGAAUCUUGACGGAAAUCGAGGAAAAGACAAUACAUCAUGGGCUCUCCACUACGUAUUUUUUAUUGUAUAUAAAGUAGGUUCCCUCUACUAUAAGAGGGACAUGGAUUGUAAGCAAGCGGAGGACACUGGGACAAAAGAUCACUUCUCACACUAAAAGAUAUCCCCCUGUGCUUGUUUUACUUUAUCUUAUUCAUUCCUUUUACUUACUAUUCUUAUUCUCAUAGUCAAGAAUAUACAUAUUCUAUUUUUCUAUACGAUUUAUAUCAAAUUGUAUCGCAUAUCCUUAGAACCAUAAACAAAUCUAACGUUAUCCGAUUUUUCGGAUAAACAGUGCCUAUGUAAUUAAGUUAAAACUUGAUUAAGGAGAGUAAUAAAGUUUCAUAUAUAGUAUAGGAAGGUAAAAUUAUAUUGCAAAGCUACCUUAAUCCAGAUUUCAAGUGCUGAAAACUCUGCAACUUUUUUAGUUAUGAAAGGAAUACUUUUGGUGACAAUCUGGUGCGUACUUCGGUGAGUGAAUAUAAUUUUGGAUGCAUAUAGAUUUGGGUUGGGAGAGUUGGAGUUUACAAGGCCCAGNNNNNNNNNNNNNNNNNNNNNNNNNNNNNNNNNNNNNNNNNNNNNNNNNNNNNNNNNNNNNNNNNNNNNNNNNNNNNNNNNNNNNNNNNNNNNNNNNNNNNNNNNNNNNNNNNNNNNNNNNNNNNNNNNNNNNNNNNNNNNNNNNNNNNNNNNNNNNNNNNNNNNNNNNNNNNNNNNNNNNNNNNNNNNNNNNNNNNNNNNNNNNNNNNNNNNNNNNNNNNNNNNNNNNNNNNNNNNNNNNNNNNNNNNNNNNNNNNNNNNNNNNNNNNNNNNNNNNNNNNNNNNNNNNNNNNNNNNNNNNNNNNNNNNNNNNNNNNNNNNNNNNNNNNNNNNNNNNNNNNNNNNNNNNNNNNNNNNNNNNNNNNNNNNNNNNNNNNNNNNNNNNNNNNNNNNNNNNNNNNNNNNNNNNNNNNNNNNNNNNNNNNNNNNNNNNNNNNNNNNNNNNNNNNNNNNNNNNNAUUAUUUUGGGUGGCGCGACUAUACUGCGUAAAAAUCCCUAACUUCUUAAUUAUCUUUGAGCCAUAUCCCGUACCCAUGUUGAACAGUUGAUAUUAGACUCCAUGUAUAUACCCAUCGUGUAAUGACAGUGUGCCUUCACCCCAUGAUCUUAGUGCUCCGAUUGCGCCUUCUGUAUCUGUAACUCGGCAACUGAAGCAUGGAGGAGAAGAGCCGGAAAGGGCGAAACCUCUCUUUUCAUGUAUACAUGCAUAUACACAUAUGUUUGACAACGUAAAUUGUUCAAUAGGUCAAAUCUAGCGUUAAAGUGACUAAAAAAUUGACAACUUCAAGGGGUCGUUAUGCAUUCUGCCUAUACAUGUUUGUUUACCCGAAAAAUAGAAAGUGUUGGAUUUAUACAUAGUUCUAAGGAUACGCGGUAUAACUUGACGCAAAUCGUAUAAGCGAAAAUAUCGAAUAUUGACUAUCAAGAAUGAAAAUACAAACAAGGUUGGAGGGAGGAUGAUUUAUGAGUAAGCAAGAUGAAAAAAGUGUAUAAAGCUCAAAAUGAUAAUCUCUCAAUAUGGAGCAUAUGCACAGUAUCUGAGUUAUGGUGUCUUAAUGUCCCCUUACAGAGAUAAUAGACAUCCCUCUUAUAGCGGGGAAUCCUACUUUAGAUAUAAUUAAAAAUACACAGUGGGAAACCAUGAUAAAUCAACUUUUCCUUUUUUCCUGCCGAGAUUCUCUCCUUUAGUGCGGCUGCAACGGCUCUUGUCUAUAGGCUCGAUAUUGACUUAAGCUCGAUACUGAAUCAAGCUCGAUAUUGAUUCGAGCUCGAUUUUGACUCGGGGUCCGGUAUUGAUUUGGGCUCAGCAUUGGUCGGUCUUUGGCCCUCGAGCUCGAUAACAUUGCUUCAUAUCAUGGUUCGAUUUGGAUUCGAGUUCGGUAUUGAUCGGUCCCUAAAACUCGAAGUUAGGUAAGCCGGCUUCGGAUCUUAUCCCGAAAUUAUGAAAACGCUCUUUGGUCCAUUAUGUUCCCAUCUUGACCAGUCGUAUGAAGGCCAAAAUUAGUUUCGACCGUAUACAGAUAGUCCCCCCGUUUCUCGGGAAGGAUGUGGCGAGAAACGAUAUGAUUUCCCAAUGGCUCGAUCAGAUAUACACUGACGUUUGCAUCAAAUCCGACCAUGACAUAUGUGAUAGCUAUCCCGUCGGUUUCGUUUACCAAGGCAUUAAAUGCGUGUCAGACGGUCGUUGGUCACUGCUGAUAUUGAACUGUCAUUCCCCAAUCUAUAAAUAGCUUCUCUUUUUACCAUUCAUCACUUUUACAUCUCUAGUUUCUAAAUUUUCUAAGCUCUUUCUCGCAUCUUCUGAGUUUAUCUGCAAGCCUGUAAUUUUUAUUGCAAAAUCUUUCUUCUGUGAUUUUCACUGCAAAACCUUUCUUCAAAACACCACAUCUUUGUCAUCUAUUUCUAUUCUCGAUCUUCAAAACCAAAAUGGUGAAAACAUCAAAAACCGUUCCUCAAAAAGAAAAAGCUUCUUCUUCACAGCCCGUUACCGAUAAAACACCGGUGGAGCCACGACCUGAGGAGUAUGUUCCCGGGGCGUGUGUUCUUACCUCCGAUUUUAAGGUAGACAAAGGCUCGUUAGUUCCUGGCCGAUGCGAGCCAGUAUUGAGGUAUUUGUGUUCGAUAACUGAGGGGCAUCUCGAACAGAUAAGGAAAGAUUGCAACUGGGAGAACAAAGAAGUGGUAAUCCCGUCUCCCGAAGAAGAUAUUACUACUCAUGUGAAAGGGUUUUUAAGUGUGUAUUCUUACCCUUUCACGUUAGGUCCUCUCGACCCUGUUAUCAUUGAUUUUUGCCGUCAAUACCAAAUAACCCUAGGCCAAAUCCAUCCUUCUUCUUGGCGGAUCAUUAUUUUGAUCCGUUUCUUUAUGAACAAAAUCGAGGGGAUGCCUUUCACCCUCGACUACCUCAUUCGAUUGUACAGCCCCCGCCUCUUUCGAGGCAGGUUAAUAAACCUUCAGUGUUGGGCUACCAAGGUUCUGUUCUCGAGCAUAGAUGAGGACAAGGAUCGAGGCUAGAUGGGUAGGUUCGUUCGAGUGAAGACUUCAGACCUAAUACCGGCCGAGAAUAUGCCAUUUCCCGAGAAGUGGAACAUGAAGCGUAAGUGUAACUCCGUUGUUAUCUCCUAUUUUUUGCCCCUUCGUUUCUUUCUCACUGAUAUUCCCUUUUUGUGAUGCAGCGGUUCCUUGGAUGCCCGGUGCAGUUCCUGACCUUAAGAACUGGGUACGACACCUGGCUUCGACCUCUACAUAUGUCGAGCGCUCAUGGCGUGAUUUGUCAAAGGGCCGAUGGGAGGCUAAAAAUCAUGGUAAGCCUCUUUCUCGUAUCUUUGAUAAUUCGAAUGAAAUGUUUUCCAUACAUCUAAUCAAUUCUCUUGUAUGUAGGCUUGGGCAAAGAUGCGGUUUUGAGGCCCCCGUCUAUCAAGCCAAUGCUGAAGCCGCUCAGGUACAAGCAAGAGAGGCAGCCGAGACCGCUAAAUCUCGAGCAUAUUGGGUUGCUGAACUUGCCAAAUGUCGAUCUCGGAGGGAGACCCUCGAGGAGAUCCAUUCUCGAGGCUUCGAUCUCACCGAAGAGAUAAAAAGGGCCAAAGAGCUCGAAGCCGAUGCUGAAGCAUUAGCUUCCGAUGAUGACGAUGGUGAUGAUGGGAGCAAGAGUGGGUCUGAGAGCGGGGAGGAGACCGAUGGAGAAGAGACCGUCCCCGGAGAUAACCAGGAGACUUAGAGUUUUUUCUGUUUUUGUGUAGGGUCCUGUUCGGACGUUGUAAAUACUUUUGUAUAUAUAUAAAGAUCUUUUCCUUUCCCGAUUUGUCUUUGUCUUAUUUUCUGCCUUGUGAAGGUCUUGUUUCGUUCAUGCCUUAUGAAAGUUUUCAUAAGCUCGAGGCUUUAGGCAAUUUGAUCGAAUUCAGACUUUUUAGUCUUUAUAACCGAGUGAGUGCUUGCUCGAACUCGAAGUAAGAGUAUCCCUUAGGCUUAAUAAUCGAGUGAGUUGAUUGCUCGAACUCUAAGUAAUGUAGCCCGUAGGCUUAAUGGUCGAGUGAGUUGAUUGCUCGAACUCGAAGUAAUGUAGCAUGUAGGCUUAAUAGUCGUGAGUGAUUUCUCGAACUCGAAGUAAGGUAGCCCGUAGGCUUAAUAGUCGAGUGAAUUGAUUGCUCGAACUCGAAGUAAUGUAUCCCAUAGGUUUAAUGGUCGAGUGAGUUGAUUGCUCGAACUCGAAGUAAUAUAGCCCGUAGGCUUAAUGAUCGAGUGAUUUGAUUGCUCGAACUCGAAGUAAUGUAGCCCGUAGGCUUAAUAGUCGAGUGAGUUGAUUGCUCGAACUCGAAGUAAUGUUGCCCGUAGGCUUAAUGGUCGAGUGAGUUGAUUGCUCGAACUUGAAGUAAUGUAGCACAUAGGCUUAAUGGUCGAGUGAGUUGAUUGCUCGAACUUGAAGUAAUGUAGCUCGUAGGCUUAAUGGUCGAGUGAGUUGAUUGCUCGGACUCAAAGUAAUGUAGCCUGUAGGCUUAAUGGUCGAGUGAGUUUUUUGCUCGAACUUGAAAUAAUGUAGCCCGUAAGCUUAAUAGUCGAGUGAGUUGAUUGCUCGAACUCGAAGUAAGAGAGGCCCUAAGGCUUAGUAGUCGAGCCUGGCCUCGUUGAUUUUUCGGUUGGCAGUCCCCGAUUAAUGGGGUAAUGGUCGAUCCUUGAGCAUGUUUGCAUAAUAGAUCAUGGAAUAGAGGAUGGGUUUUGAGACAUGAGAAAUCGGCAAAGAAGAAGUUUCUCAUUAUGUCAUUAUACAUGUGUUCAUGUUUUGUACUAGGGAUCGAUCAAACUGCACGAGCAUGGUUCGUAUUGACCAUUUGGCUCUUAUAAUUUUUCCUAUCGAAACCCUGUUAUUAUGAAGUAACUUUCUGGCAUCAAAACUUGAUAAUCGAACUUACUUGAUAUAUUUGAGGGUAAUGCCCCCCAUUAUUCGAGGUUGAUUAUAAAGAGGCCUCGGAUACUGUUGAAUUGUUCUAAGUUAGUACGAUCAAUGGUUGCCUCAUUAAAAACCUUGCCGAAAAACCCAUUUGGGAUAAAACCGAUCUAAGAGAAAACGAGUGCAACACGUACUUUCAUGCCUAAGGAUUUGUGUUGAAUAACCCAUUCCUAUUCUUGGUUGAACUCUUGCAAGGGUUAAUUUCGAAAUAUAAACGAACAUGGGAGGGUCAUACCUUAACAGUAGUAUCAUUUUAGGUGUGACACGUUCCAAUUUCUUGGUAGUUGUUUGCCGUUUAUAACACCGAGCUUGUAGGAUCCUUUACCGACGAUUUCGAGCACCCGAUACGGCUCUUCCCAGUUUGGACCCAGUUUUCCUUCAUUUGGAUUUCAGGUGUUGAGGGUGACUUUCCUUAGCACUAAGUCCCCGAUUUUAAAAUGUCGAAGAUUGGUUCUUCGAUUAUACUAUCUUUCGAUCCGCUGUUUUUGGGCGGCCAAUCGGUCGAGAGAGGCUUCUCGAUGUUCAUCCAAUAAUUCGAGGCUAGUAUUCAUAGCCUCGUGAUUUGACUCUUCUGUUGUAUGUCGAAACCUCGCACUGGAUUCCCCGACUUCGACUUAAAUCAAGGCCUCAGAACCAUAUACUAAGGAGAACGGGGUUGCCCCCGUACUGGAUUUUGACAUUGUUCGAUAUGCCCAAAGGACUUCGGGUAAAAUUGCUCUCCAUUUUCCCUUAGCGUCAUUUAACAUAUUCUUUAUGUUUUGAAUGAUAGUCUUGUUCGUCGAUUCUGCCUGUCCGUUCCCACUAGGGUGGUACGACAUUGUUAAUAUUCUUUUUAUUUUAUAGUCUUCGAGGAAUUUCGUCACCUUGCCGCCGAUAAAUUAUUUUCCACUGUCACACACUAUUUUGGCGGAUAUCCCAAAUCGACAUAGGAUGUGAUCCCAGAUGAAGUCUAUAACCUCUUUCUCUCACUUUCUCGAACGCCUGUGCUUCAACCCACUUAGAGAAAUAGUCAGUUAUAAAUAAAAUGAACUUAGCUUUACCAGGGGCCGAUGGCAGAGGGCCGACGAUGUCCAUCCCCCAUUUCAUGAAUGGCCAUGGGGAUAUGACUGAAUGAAGUUAUUCUCCGGGCUGAUGGAUCAUCGGUGCAAACCUUUGGCAUUUAUCGCAUUUUCGAACAAGCUCUUUAGUGUUUUUUCCAUGCUAUCCCAGUAGUAUCCUGCUCUAAUGAUUUUGUGAACCAGUGAUUCGGCGUUGGAGUGGUUCCCACAAGUGCCUUCAUGGACCUCUCGUAAAACGUAAUCGGUAUCUUCUGGUCCUAAGCAUACUGCCAAUGGUCCAUCGAAUGUCCUUCUGUAUAACAUUCCAUCUUCAGCCAAUAUGAAUCGAGCAGCUUUGGUUUGUAGGGUCCUCGACUCUUUAGGGUCUGAUGGGAGCUUUCCAUCCUUCAAGUAUUGAAUAUAUUUAUUCCUCUAAUCCAAGUUAAGCUUGUAGAGUUUAUCUCGGCAUGACCUUCUUCGAUCACGAAUUUCGAGAGUUGAACGAUAGUCCCCGAGCUGAUCUCAUCUUCCUCGACCGACGACCCCAAAUUUGCAAGUGCAUCGGCCUCAUUGUUUUGUUCUCGAGGUACAUGCUGUAAAGUCCAUUCUUUGAAAUGGUGCAAAGUUACCUGCAGUUUGUCCAAAUACCUUUGCAUUCUAUCCUCUCGAACUUCGAAAGUUUUGUUUACUUAGUUUACCGCUAGUAAAGAGUCACACUUGGCUUCAAUGACUUCUGCUCCCAAGCUUUUGGCUAGCUCGAGACCUGUAAUCAUGGCCUCGUACUCGACCUCAUUGUUAGUCAACCUAGAGGUUUUGAUAGAUUGCCUAAUAGUGCUACCCGUGGGCAUCUUAAAACGAUGCNNNNNNNNNNNNNNNNNNNNNNNNNGAGUUCCUUUUCAACUUUGGGCACGAAGGUUGGCGUGAAAUCGGCUACGAAGUCCGCUAAAAUUUGAGACUUGAUGGCCGUCCGGGGUUGAUAUUUGAUAUCAUACCCACUGAGUUCGACAGCCCAUUUGGCCAAUCGGGCCGAUAGUUCGGGCUUGUGCAAAAUAUUUCGAAGUGGGUAAGUGGUUAAUAUGCAUAUGGGGUGAGAUUGAAAGUAUGGUCUUAACUUUCUAGAGGUGCUUAUCAGUGCAAGUGCCAAUUUCUCUAAGUGUGGAUACCUUGUUUAUGCUUCCCCUAAGGUUUAACUUAUAUAAUAAACGGGAAAUUGCGUGCCUUGCUCUUCUCGAACUAGGACACUACUUACCGCUAUUUCCGAUACUGCCAAGUACAAGUAAAGUUUCUCAUCUGCCUUCGGAGUGUGAAGCAGUGGUGGGCUCGAUAGGUAUCGCUUCAAUUCUUCUAAUGCCUGUUGGCAUUCCGGGGUCCAGGCAAAAUCGUUCUUCUUUUUGAGUAGAGAGAAAAAUCAGUGGCUUUGAUCCGAAGACCUCAAAAUGAAUCGGCCUAAGGCAUCUAUCCGUCCGGUUAGCUUCUGUACGGCUUUCACACUGUCCACGACGGUGAUGUCUUCGAUGGCCUUAAUUUUAUCGGGGUUUAUCUUGAUCCCCCGAUUCGAUACCAUGAAGCCUAGGAACUUGCCCGAACCGACCCCGAAAGCACAUUUCUCGGGGUUGAGCUUCAUGUUGUAUUUCCUUAAAAUCUCGAACGUUUCCUGCAAAUAAACCAAAUGGUCCUCUGCACGCAAGGACUUAACUAGCAUGCCGUCAAUAUACACUUCUAUUGAUUUACCUAUUUGUUCUUCGAACAUUUUAUUUACUAGGCGUUGGUAAGUAGCUCCUGCAUUUUUUAGCCCGAAGGGCAUUACAUUAUAACAAUAGGUUCCAUACUUGGUGAUAAAUGAAGUCUUUUCUCGGUCCUCCGGGUUCAUUUGGAUUUGAUUGUACCCGGAAUAGGCAUCGAGAAAAGUAAGGAUCUCGUGGACGACUGUGGCAUCGAUCAUGCGAUCGAUGUUAGGCAGUUGGAAAGAAUCUUUGGGGCAUGCCUUGUUUAAAUCUUUAUAAUCUACACACAUUCUAAAUUUGUUCCCUUUUUUAGGCACUACAACUACAUUGGCUAACCAUUCAGGAUAUUUCACCUCCCGAAUGGACCCUAUUUUGAGAAGUAAGUUACCUCAUCCUUUAUGAAUCCAUGCUUUAUUUCGAACUGGGGUCUCCUCUUUUGCUUCACCAUUUUGAACCCGGGGUCCAGGCGUAGCCGAUGCGUCGUUAUCUCUGGUGGGAUCCCUGUCAUGUCUAAAUGGGACCAAGCAAAACAAUCUAUGUUAUCAAUAAGAAAUUGGAUAAUCCUUUUCCUGAGUUCGGGGGUUAAUCUCGUUCCCAGGUAUACUUUUCGCUCGGGAAGGUACUCGAUCAAUAUAACCUGUUCCAGCUCUUCGACCGUUGAUUUGGUGGCGUCGGAACCUUCGGGAACAAUAAAAGUUUGAGGGGGUCAGAAAAUCCUCCUCUUCUUCUUCUAUCUCCUGCUUCCCUGAUUCGGUCGAGGCUGAUGGUUGUGAUUGCUAUUUGACUUCCUCUUUACCUUUGAUGCUCGACCUCUCCGAGGUUGACGGUGUCGAUAUAGGUGUUACCUCAUCGACUGCAAACAUUUCCUUCGUAACAUGCUGCUCCCCGUAUACUGUUUUUACACCGUCCGAUAUCGGGAAUUUCAUUACUUGGUGGAGGGUCAAAGGGACUUCCCUCAUAUUGUGGAUCCAAGGCCUUCCAAGCAGGGCAUUGUACCUCAUGUCACCCUCGAUUACGUGGAACUUGGUAUCUUGAAUUGUUCCAGCCACGUUCUCCGGUAGAAUAAUCUCCCCUUUAGUUGUUUCACUGGCCAUAUUGAAGCCGUUUAAAACCCGAGCUGCGGGCACGAUUUGAUUCUGUAGGUCAAGCUGUUCCACGACCCUCGAUCGGAUGAUAUUCGCUGAACUACCUGGAUCCACUAAAACACACUUAACCUGAACUUUAUUUAAUAAGAUAGAAAUUACCAGAGCAUCGUUGUGGGGCUGAGAAAUGCCUCUUGCUUCUUUGUUGUUGAAUGACAAAGUGCCUUCGGGCGCAUAAUCUCGGGUUCAUUUUUCCCUAGUGGUUGAUACCUUAGUAUGUUUGAACAUGGGUCCCUGUGGAAUGUCGACCCCACCAAUGAUCAUAUGAAUGACAUAUUAGGGUUCCUCCUGUUCAUUUUUUCUGUUGGCGUCCCUUUCUCUAAAAUGAUUCUUGGCUCGAUUGUUGAGGAACUCUCGAAGGUGGCCCUCGUUAAAUAGACGGGCUACCUCCUCUCUUAAUUGUCUACAAUCCUCAGUCUUGUGACCAUGCGUGCCAUGGUACUUGCACAUCAAAUUCGGGUUUUUUUGGGAAGGAUCGGUCUGUAUGGGUCUGGGCCACCUAGUAUCUUUGAUCCUUCCGAUUGCCAAUACAAUGCCCGAUGCAUCGAUGCUAAAAUUAUAUUCCGAUAACCGAGGUGCCUCUGUGGGAUCGACAUACUUGUCAAAAUCACUUCUGCUCAUAAGUCCCCGAGAACUCUGUCCUCGAUCACUUCUUCGAUUGUUCCGGGCGGAAUUGCGUCCUGAACCAUUGUUCCUUCGAUCUACAUUAUAUGGUUGAUAUCGGUCUCUGGUCGACCUUGGCUCCAUGUUGAUGUCCUUCUGGUUCUUAACUACCGACCUAUUUGGAUGUACUGAACCGGAAGGGGCUCUUAGUUGGUCGUCCUCGACCCUGAUCUUCGAUUGAUAUCGAUUGUGCACAUCUGCCCAGGUCACGGCCGGAUAUUCGAUCAAACUUUGUUUCAACUGACAUGAUGCUAUCGAACUCCGCUCGUUCAACCCUUGGGUGAAAGCUUGAACGGCCCAAUCCUCUAUGAUCGGUGGCAAUUCCAUGCGUUCUAAUUGAAAUCGGGACACGAACUCCCUCAGCAUUUCAUUAUCCCUUUGCCUUACCUUGAAAAGGUCUGAUUUCCUCGUUGCGACCUUUAUGGCCCCUGCGUGUGCCUUUACGAAAGAAUCUGCUAACAUGGAGAAUGGGUUGAUGGAAUUUGGUGGCAGGUUGUGAUACCAAAUCAUUGCUCCCUUCGAAAGGGUCUCUCCGAAUAUUUUCAACAGCACAAAUUCGAUUUCGUCAUCUUCUAAAACAUUACCCUUUAUGGCACACGUGUAAGAGGUGACGUGUUCAUUAGGGUCGGUCGUCCCAUUAUAUUUAGGAAUAUCGAGCAUGCGGAAUAUUUUGGGGAUCGGUUUUGGAGCUGCACUCGGGGGAAAAGGCUUUUGCACGAAUUGUUUGGAAUCCAACCCUUUCAACAUUGGUGGUGCCCCGGGAUUUGAUCGACCCUUGAGUUAUAUGUUUUCACUUUUUUAUCAUUUGCUUCGAUCCGUUUUGUGAGUUCCUCGCGUAUCUUAGCAAUUUCGGGAUUAGUCCCUGAUUCUUGCUCAUUUGACCUUACUAUAGCUAGCUCCGUUCUGUGGGUGAUUUCUCGGGGUUGAUUGGGCUCCGGUCUACUCGGUACCUGGGUUUGACUCUACAACUGAACUAUCGCUACCUGUUGAGCUUGUAACAUUUCGAAAAUCAUACGCAAGCUGAUUCUGUUUUCCUCAACGUUAUGGGUGUCUCGAGCUGUAGAUCGAGUACUACCAUGAAUGCUAUUUUCAGGUUUAGAACGUUAGUUUGCCUCAAUAGCCACAUGCGAAUUAACGUCUAAUAGUACUUCGACUCGGCCCCAACGGCAUCGAACUCGGCCCCAACGGCAUCGACAAGCGGCCUUUCGGCCCUGGGCGUCAAGUUGUUAUUCUCACCUUGAAGGCCAGCUUCGUUGUCGAUAGUAAGGCCAUUAAUUGAGAGUUCGUUGGGUCUAAUCCGAAAUCAAAGACACUUUCAAUGACAAGCGUAAAAUGGUGUGUUUUGCAGAUUUGUAUCAAAUAACCACUGUUAUCCUUAGCCCCACGGUGGACGCCAAACUGUUUACCCGAAAAACGGAUAGUAUUGAAUUUAUACGUAGUUCUAAGGGUACGCGGUAUAACUUAACGCAAAUCGUAUAAGCGAAAAUAUCGAAUAUUGACUAUCAAGAAUGAAAAUACAAACAAGGUUGGAGGGAUGAUGAUUUAUGAGUAAGCAAGAUGAAAAUAAUGUAUAAAGCGCAAAAUGAUAAUCUCUCAAUAUGGAGCAUAUGCCCAUUAUCUGAGUUAUGAUGUCUUAAUGUCCCCUUAGAGAGAUAAUAGCCAUCCCUCUUAUAGCGAAAAAUCCUACUUUAGAUAUAAUUAAAAAUACAUAGUGGGGAACCAUGAUAUAUCAACUUUUUCCUUUUUCCUGCAGAGAUUCUCUCCUUUAGUGCGUCUGUAUCGGCUCUUGUCUAUAGGCUCGAUAUUGACUUAAGCUCGAUACUGAAUCGAGCUCGAUUUUGACUCGGGGCCCGGUAUUGAUUCGGGCUCAGCAUUGGUCGGUCUUUGGCUCUCGAGCUCGAUAACAUUGCUUCGCAUCAUGGUUUGAUUUGGAUUCGAGCUCGAUAAUGACUUCGAGCUCGGUAUUGAUCGGUCCCUAAAACUCGAAGCUAGGUAACUCGGCUUCGGAUCUUGUCCCGAAAUUAUGAAUACGCUCUUCGGUCCAUUAUGUUCUCAUCUCGAUCAACCGUAUACAAUGUUUUCAAGGUUUUUUCAACCAUAUGUGUGCGUAAGCGCCUGUUUGUUUCGAAAACAAGGUGCAAAAAGUUUAUCAAAAAUCCUUUCAAGGUUGAAAUUGUGUUUAUUGAUAGUAGUUUGCAAGAAAUAACCAACAACAACAACAAAAAGAAUCUCCACCUUGUUUUGGGAACAAACUUGGACAGCUUAAACUUUGUGAAGUGUAUAAAACUUGACACUUGACACUUGACACUUGACACGAAGUGUUUCUUCUUAGUUUUCGUAAGUAUUUAUUUUCCUGUUAAACACACUUUUAUGCAAGAACAUGAUUUUCCUUUGCUAAUACUAUUGUCUCAUGAAUUUUACCUUUUUAUCAUCUUCUUCACAUCCAUUCGCCCAAAGAAGUGUGGAAAAGAAAUAAUUUAAUUCUUGCCACUUUUCACUUUUCGGAAUUGUACGAAAAAUAGUUUGCUUCCACAAAAGCAAUGAAAUGGCUAUCAUGAAUGUGCGCAAUUGUUGGUGAAACCAUCAAGUGUACUAUUGGAUUGGACAUUUGCCACUCUCAACUUUCUAUAUAAGAAGAGCUUGCCUAUAAAGAUUUGAUCAUGAAGUCAUAUCUUUCCUAAAAUUUAUCCCACACGUCAUGCUCCCUUGGAUCCUCAGGACCCUCCACGAAAAAAAGCAGGUGAGGCCCCAAUUCUUGAUCGGAGGGGACAUCAAAGGACUCUGCCCUUCCAUCCAUCGGAUAGAUAGAGAGGGAUGGCAGAGCUUUUGAUUUUUUUAUGUUGUUAAAGAGUUGAACAAUGAUUUUUUUAGUAUUGUCAAAGAUUUGAACAAUGAAAAUAGAUAGCGAGUGUUUGAUCGAAUUGAUUAUGUUUAAUGAUCUUGAACAUGAAUGGUCUUGAUUUUUUUAUCCUUACUUGCCUCAUGAGCAAAUCUUUAAGGUCAACAGUCAAAAAUAUUGUUCAUCGGGCAAAGAAAGACAAUACUCGUUAAACUUAAAGUUAUGUUCAUGAAACAAGCAUGGUUAGAAAAUUAAAAUCGCUCACUUCCAAGGCCAUUCUUGUGAAUUAUCCCAUAAAAAGGUUGUUGAAACAAGAAUGAGGCCGAUCAACUUUUGCCUUAACAUGGAUUACAAUGCCCUUUUGUUAUUUUUGCACUCAGUUUCUUAAAAAGAAUCUCAUGUUUGGGAACCGUUUUAAAAUGGCCAUCCUAUCAUUUUUAUUUAUCCAGGAAUUGUAUUGCAUUAGCAGAUAUCAAUGUUCCAUUUAUAUAAGAACAAUGAACUUACUUACACGUUGAGCACAAACAGUGUCGUUUUUCUCCUUGUGCGCAACCUAAAAUAAUUCUUAUUGACAUGGCUCAGAACCACAGAUUGAGUAUUUUUAUUUCUUUUUCUUCGUGUGACUUUUAUUUCCUUAUGAAAAGUAACAUACAACUUAACAUCACGUAUCAAUAUCAU
rnacentral:lncRNA from 1 species